AUUGAACGCUGGCGGCAGGCCUAACACAUGCAAGUCGAACGGGUGGCGGACGGGUGAGUAAUGUCUGGGAAACGUCCUGAUGGAGGGGGAUAACUACUGGACACGGUAGCUAAUACCGCCUUCACUCAGAUGUGCCCAGAUGGGAUUAGCUUGUUGGUGGGGUAACGGCUCACCAAGGCGACGAUCCCUAGCUGGUCUGAGAGGAUGACCAGCCACACUGGAACUGAGACACGGUCCAGACUCCUACGGGAGGCAGCAGUGGGGAAUAUUGCACAAUGGGCGCAAGCCUGAUGCAGCCAUGCCGCGUGUAUGAAGAAGGCCUUCGGGUUGUAAAGGACUUUAAGCGGGGAGGCGUUACCCGCAGAAGAAGCACCGGCUAACUCCGUGCCAGCAGCCGCGGUAAUAC
rnacentral:rRNA from 1 species